rnacentral:rRNA from 1 species
GAUGAACGCUGGCGGCGUGCUUAACACAUGCAAGUCGAGCGAAGCACUUUAUUUGAUUUUCUACGGAAUUGACGAUUUUGUGACUGAGCGGCGGACGGGUGAGUAACGCGUGGGUAACCUGCCAUAUACAGGGGGAUAACAGUUAGAAAUGACUGCUAAUACCGCAUAAGCGCACGGUACCGCAUGGUACAGUGUGAAAAACUCCGGUGGUAUGGGAUGGAUCCGCGUCUGAUUAGCCAGUUGGCGGGGUAACGGCCCACCAAAGCGACGAUCAGUAGCCGACCUGAGAGGGUGACCGGCCACAUUGGGACUGAGACACGGCCCAAAACUCCUACGGGAGGCAGCAGUGGGGAAUAUUGCACAAUGGGGGAAACCCUGAUGCAGCGACGCCGCGUGAGCGAAGAAGUAUUUCGGUAUGUAAAGCUCUAUCAGCAGGGAAGAAGAAAAUGACGGUACCUGACUAAGAAGCCCCGGCUAACUACGUGCCAGCAGCCGC